GGAUGUGAGGGCGAUCUGGCUGCGACAUCUGUCACCCCAUUGAUCGCCAGGGUUGAUUCAGCUGAUCUGGCUGGCUAGGCGGUGUCCCCUUCCUCCCUCACCGCUCCAUGUGUGUCCCUCCCUAAGCUGCACACUCGUUGAAGAGGAUGACCUUCCCCAAUAGAAGGAAGACUGUCCUUCGGUCAAGGGUAUACGAGUAGCUGCGCUCCCCUGCUAGACCCUCCAAACAAGUCUCAAAACAUUUUUUUUCUACUUGAGCCCUUGGUAUCAGCUUCUCAUUUUUU
rnacentral:snRNA from 1 species